AAAUGGCCUACCAAGGCAACGAUGGUUAGCUGGUCUGAGAGGAUGAUCAGCCACACUGGAACUGACACACGGUCCAGACUCCUACGGGAGGCAGCAGUGAGGAAUUUUGCGCAAUGGGGGAAACCCUGACGCAGCAACGCCGCGUGAGUGAUGAAGGCUUUCGGGUCGUAAAGCUCUGUCAAGUGGGAAGAAACCAUAUGGUAUUAAUACCGCCAUAUGUUGACGGUACCAUUGAAGGAAGCACCGGCUAACUCCGUGCCAGCAGCCGCGGUAAUACGGGGGGUGCGAGCGUUAUUCGGAUUUACUGGGCGUAAAGAGCGCGUAGGCGGUCUUUUAAGUCAGGUGUGAAAGCCCGGGGCUCAACCCCGGAAGUGCACUUGAAACUAAGAGACUUGAGUAUGGGAGAGGGAAGUGGAAUUCCUGGUGUAGCGGUGAAAUGCGUAGAUAUCAGGAGGAACAUCGGUGGCGAAGGCGACUUCCUGGACCAAUACUGACGCUGAGGCGCGAAGGCGAGGGGAGCAAACAGGAUUAGAUACCCUGGUAGUCCACGCAGUAAACGGUGAACACUAGGUGUAGCGGGUAUUGACCCCUGCUGUGCCGCAGCAAACGCAUUAAGUGUUCCGCCUGGGGAGUACGGCCGCAAGGCUAAAACUCAAAGGAAUUGACGGGGGCCCGCACAAGCGGUGGAGCAUGUGGUUUAAUUCGACGCAACGCGAAGAACCUUACCUAGGUUUGACAUCCCGGGAAUCCUCUGGAAAUAUUGGAGUGCCCUUCGGGGAGCCCGGUGACAGGUGCUGCAUGGCUGUCGUCAGCUGGUGUCGUGAGAUGUUGGGUUAAGUCCCGCAACGAGCGCAACCCCUUUCUUUAGUUACCAUCAUUUAGUUGGGGACUCUAAAGAUACUGCCCCGGUUAACGGGGAGGAAGGUGGGGAUGACGUCAAGUCCUCAUGGCCUUUAUGCCUAGGGCUACACACGUGCUACAAUGGACUGUACAAAGGGUUGCCAGCCUGCGAAGGUGAGCCAAUCCCAUAAAGCAGUUCGUAGUUCGGAUUGGAGCCUGCAACUCGACUCCAUGAAGCUGGAAUCGCUAGUAAUCGUGGAUCAGAACGCCACGGUGAAUACGUUCCCGGGCCUUGUACACACCGCCCGUCACACCAUGAGAGUUGGUUGUACCAGAAGUCGUUGGGCAAACCCUUCGGGGGUGCAGGCGCCUAAGGUAUGGCUGAUGAUUGGGGUGAAGUCGUAACAAGGUA
rnacentral:rRNA from 1 species